GGGCUAUGGCGACGGCGCCACCAAAGGCGACUUCUAGGGUUUUCGCUUGAGAAUUCAGAUUCGAUCGAAGGUUCUAUGCGGGUUGGAUGAGGGGUCUUAUAGGUUUUAUCAUCAAAAUGGAAAGAGUUGGUUUCGAGCCGGUUUUGUGAAUACAAUGAAAUCAACGGGUGAUCGGAUUGGCUGGGUGUUGGAGAAUAGGGGAGAUUAUAGGAUCGACGAGAUUCACAAGGAUGAUUCAACAGGAUUACAUAAGGAUGGAAUAGAAACUGGGGAAAUUCGAAGGGAUCUGGAAAAUUUUCCCCAUUGGAAAACAACAGCACAAGGGUGCAGGUUCUAUGGUGGUUGUUUAAGAUUGUUAUGUUAUUGGUUUUUUUAUUAAAAAUAAGAGUAGGACCGGAUGUUUGCUUAUAGUAGCAUUAGAUUCUAGUUUUCUUUUUUUUUUCUGUGUAUUAUUGGGUUAAGUACUCAUUUUCUAUGGGUGAAUUGCUCAGAUACUCUUAAUGAGGCAAAUUUUAUUCCGUCAUACUCUUACUAAUUCUCACAUACUCCUCAUUUAAUUCAUACUCCUAAGAAACGUGGUCAAUGUCAAAAUUACCCCUUUUGACUAAACCAAUCAAAAUCAUUCUCUCUCCUACUCUAUCUUCUUCCUUUCUCUCCCAACUGUAGAUCUUCAACCCAGAUUUGUUCAAGCUCUAUUUAAUUUGAUAUUUAUCUUCUCCAUUAAUUCAUUCGUAAAGAAUCAAAAACUUUAACUUCAAAUUCGUGUUCAUAAUUAACUAAUUGAGCAUUGAGAACAAUGGGUCUCGAUCUAUUUAGAUAAUCAAAAACACUGGUAUAAUUAUAAAAAAUUUAUCAAAUUAGUAUUUUGAUUUUAAAAAAACUAAAAAACGUAGUAAAACCUGGUAUGAACAAAAUGGUAUAGCUAUUUAUAAUUAUGUAUAACUAUAACCGUACAACUUGUAUAAUUUGGUAAAACUAUAUUGUACAACUAAGUAAAACUGUGUAACUAGGUUAAAGUGUACUAACUAAACUUUAUAACUUGAUAUAAAUAUAUUGGUAAAAAUGUAUAACUUGGUAAAAUUUUAUGGUUAAACCGUGCAACUUCAUCUAACUUGAUUGUUAAUCAUUUUGAUUUUUACAUGAGACGACGAGUUCUUUCACAAACAUACACUUUGAUUAUGAAAAAUACUAUUAUAAAGCUGGAGAUGGUUAUGAAUGGAUUCCAAACGAAGGUAGCUUGUAUGCUAGUUGAUAGGAUAUGGAGAAAGAUGACCAUAAAUCCAUGUACAAAGAGGUUGAAUUUGAGUUAUAUUUCAUUGGUAGUAAACCCUAUGAGCCAAUCGAAGAAGCAUAACAACAUCUUAAGGUGACUAAGUCAGUGGAAGAUGUUGUUACUCGAGAUAGAGACAAUGUAGGUAUUGAUUUGGAUAACGUGGAGAGCAUGUGAAAGAUUUAGUUGAUUAAGCAUCACACCAUAACUGUUUUAAAAUUAUUAUUUUGAACUGUGAGAUCUGAAUAUUAAGAAUUCUGAUUUAUUUCGAUUAAAGUAUACAUAAAAGUGCAUACUAGCUCUUGAAAAAGAUUAAACCCGGAAACCAGAAGGAAAUGCACACCACGAUUAGUUGCAUCUAUUAUUCAAGAUGAUUCCUCAAGACGAUAGAAAAACUAAAACUUAGUAAAACUGAUAAAAUACAAAAAAAUAAAUAUACAAAAUUCUAAACUUGUUUGGUUAUUUACAAGUAUUAUGCUUAUUAUUUGUUAGUAUUUUCUGAUUUAAAUUCAAAAUAAUUAUAGUAAAAAUUUUCAUCACAUAGUUGUGUACUAUUUAUAAUAGAGGAAAUACCUUGUUCUUUUAUGUUUUUUUUCUUAGUACUGACCUCGUGACAUUACAAAACUUAUAUAUGCCACGAAAUUAAUUAUAUUACAACAUGAUUUGAUGAGAAAUGAUUGUAAGAAACCAAAUAUAAGUGGUAUAACUAUAAUAUAAAUAUUUUGAGUACAAUAAAACUUAAAAAAAUAUCAAAAAUAGAGCGUUUUGUAAAACUACAAACUUGGUAAAACUUAGACCCCAAAAAUGCUGUGAAAAUUUUUCCCGCCCAAAUUUCAGAAUUUUCCCUCCCAAAUUUUUCUAUUUCUUUCUAGACACCAAAAACGGAGUUGGUAACUAUAAUUGCUUUAAUUUUUAGGGUUUUCUCAUUUUUACUAUCUUCUCAAUCCUCUCAACUCAUUUUCUCUCAUCUCAUUUCUCCUUUUUCAUCUUUCUUCACCUAGUCUGCAAUUUUCAGGUUUUUUUCAAAAAAUAAUGGUCAAUCAAGAGUCAAAACUCUUAAACUACCUAUUAAGUGAUGAUGCAGCGGUGAGGGUAUCAUCGAGAAGUUCUCUAAAUCUGAUCUAAAUCCUUAUUUCCAAUAUUAUUGAUGUCUCUAUGUGGUUUCUCAAAUGACCAUGCAGAUUAAGGACCCAAUAAUGGAAGAAAAAUAUUGAUAGUCGUAUGUUGCCUUAUUCCUACUGUAACGAUACUUCUGAGAUUUUGGUUGUAUAGUUAAUCAUAACUUCUAUCAAAUUAGUUCAGUGACGAGUUUUUUUAAGUUUUCGAAAUUUUACAAAUGAAAACAAAAAUUCUGACAAAGUUUACUGACUUGUACAAAUAGAAAAAAUACUAAGUUAUGCAAAGUUUGACGUACGAAAAUGGAAAACUUUGGCAAUUUUUUACCUAAUUACAGAAACAUGAAAAAAGUAAUACUAAAUUUUACGAAGUUUGACAAACAAAAAUGAGAUAUUUAACCAAAGUUAUCCUAAGUUACACCAAGUUCUACAAACAUAAAUAACAAACCAAGUAACAUAAACACAAACAACAAAGUUAGUGUGUUAAAAGAAGAAGUUCUACUUCUUAAAGCAACUAUGAAGAUUGAGAAAUCCUAUAGUGCAAGGAAAAUAAUUAUAGUUCUAUGUUGUCUUAUUUCAGUAGUUAUAAGAAUUUGGAUGUAUAACUAAUCAAAAUUUGUAUCAUCUUAAUGGAAUGUAAAGUUUUUUCCAAGUUUAACCAAAUUUACACAAACACUAAAACAAAGUAAUAAUAAGUUUGACAAACAGAAAUAUGAAACUUUGACAGACUUUUACCGAGUUAAACAAACACAAAACAAAGUAAUCUCAAGAUCUACAAAGUGAAACAAAAAUGGAAAACUCGCAAAGUCUUACUGAGUUACACAAAUAUACAUAACAAAAUUUUGACCGAGUUACCAAGUUACAAAAACUUGUAUUGGUUGACAAUGAUUAGUUUUUUUCUUUGCCACUUGUAUUGGUUGCCAAUGGUCGAUUUUUCUUCAUUGCUUCUUUUUCGAUUUCCUCAUUCCCACUAUAUUCUUUCAUAUUACUUCUACUGUCAUUUUCUCCUACACCUUUAUCCACACUCUUAUUUUAUCUCUCCACUAUCUAAACCACCAUCCUUCUCACUUUGUUCCAUGUCUCUACUAUAAGAGGUCAGAUAAAGUUUCAUUUUUGUUCUUUGAAAGCAACAUUUCAUAGAAAAACGUAACUAUCAAAUUAAGUCAUCAUCAUAAAAUUCACAAAGUAUUACUAAGUUAUACAAUCUAAACUAUUUAAAGUUUUACCAAGUUGUAUAAAGUUUUAUAGUUAUAUGAAGUUUUACUAAGUUAUACCAUUCUAGGUUCGUUUUUUCUUCUCUUUCGAUGGAUAAUUCGUGAUUUGUUAUUUCGUAAUUUUUUUCUGGGAAAAAGUUCGAUUUGUCUUUUAUUUGGAGAUUAUAUUUUCUCAUGUGAUAAAAGGAUGAAUUAAAAUAAGAUUGAUUUGUUUCAGUGAAAAAAAUAAAAAGAAUGAGUAAAACUUGAAAAUACUUAGAUGUCUAGAUUUUUAUGUCUUGAUCCAAGUUUAACGGGUGGGUAUAGUUUGGGUUUGGAUAGUCCGCCUGGUAAAUUUGUAAAUAACUAGAUUUUGUCUGGUUGGUAGGUCUUUUAAUAAUUUUCGUGAUUUCAAUAAAUAUUAAAUUAAACAGGAAAAAAGGGGUGAUUCAUUUUCUAUUAUGUAUUCUCUUUAAGUCACUUUAUGAGAGAAGAUUAAUAAAGAAAUGGUUGAAAUCGUGGUGGUUUGGUGUUUUUUUAUUUGGAGAACUGAAGGGUCUUCUUUUUUUUUGUUUUUUUGAAACACAGAGAACUGAAGGGUCUAUUAGGUGACCUUUUGAAGUGGAAUAACAAUUUUAAUAGAUGGAUCAUAAUCAGGAACACUUGUAGUACGGAAUUAUGUUUGUGUAAUGAUUCUCGUAUCAAGGAAAGAGGUCACAGGAAGUGUAAUACUGGUCCAGACUUUUGCCACAUUUUGAUUUCAGUAAUGGAAGGGAGUUUCUCCGUUUCUACUAAUAAAGAUCCUUAUGUGCUUUACGAGUUUGACGUGUCCUCAUACUCUAGCCUCAAGUCAAAUAAAUUUUGGAAACAGAGGGAGUUUGGAGGAUAUAGUGACUUUACGAGAUUGGUGUGUCCUCAUACAUCGUUGUUUGUUCAGAGAUAUUUUUACAGAGAUUUUGGAAAGCUUCGCAUGAAGGAAGAGAGGGCUCGCAGGUUCUCGGUUUUUAAGGAAUACAACAGAGAAGGAAGAGAGGUUUUACAGGUUUUUGGUCUAAAGUUUUUAAUAAAUUCUAUAAGUAUGGUUUGGUAUUUGCGUAGGACCUUAGCCUUUGUGGUACCACUGCCACAAACCAGUUUUUUAUUACUUUUGUUGCAAUGUUACGGGUGGUGUUGCAUUGUGUAUGUGCCUCUUUGGUUUUCUGGUGUUUCAUUACCGGCUGCAAGAUCGGUUUAUGUGAUCUUGUUUUGGAAUAUACUUGGUCAUUUUGGUGUUUGUUACUGGUGCUAUUUCAUUAAUUAUGGUUUAAUAAGCUUUAUAAGCAGUAGUUGGGCCAGCGAUAUGUAUCAUAAAGUCUUGGGAUAGUGGUCUUAGAGGAAUUUGUGGAACAAGACGGUGUUACAUGUACUUUUUUUUUUUUUUUUUGAUAAUCCAGUAUCCGACCACUUUGCGUGAUCGACUAGCCCACCGGGCCUAAGCCCAUGCCAUUACAGGAUUUUUAAGCGUCCACUUAAGGGCCCCUGGUUACGCGAAGUGGUCUGGAGGGCGAGAGGCAGCCCAUGUAAAUACCCCCCGUGGCCGGGGCUCGAACUCGGGUGGCGGGCACCUCAGCCGAGGUUCCUUUACCACCAGACUACGAUGCCCGGUUAAACUUGUUACAUGUACAUAAAAAUGCUUCAAGGAAAAUUCUACUUUUCAAUGGUUUGGAGGCUUUGGGUUUUAAGUUUUUUGAGAUGUUUGGGUAUCAUUAAAUCCGCAUCUCUGGCUCCAUGGAGCAUAAGCAAGUAAUUAUUAUAUGAGGAUACUAAGUUGAAAUUGCAGGGGAAUGGGGAGUAAAAUGACUAUAAAUUAUCUUCGAAAAAUAUGGCAUAAACAUAAAUCCGAUUUUUUAUUUCUAUCUAAAACAAAGCAAGAGUUCGAAUUUGUACAAGGAUUUUAAUCACACUUUGGUUAUGAUAGCCUGGUUACCGUGGAUCCAAAUGGAAGGAGUGGGAAGGGGGGAGGGGGAGGGGUUAGCUCUUUUCUACAACAAUGAAUAUGAAAUUAAAAUCCUCUACUCCAGUAACAUAAUUAUAGAUGUGGAGCUGUAUAACACUUUUUAUAAUGGACACGCUAUGUUAAAAUCCUCUACUCCAGUAACAAAUUAAGAUAGCAUUUUAUAAUGGACACGCUAUGUUAUAAUUUUCAGACGCUAAGCUGUGUAACGUUUUUUUAAAGAAGCGUAUUUUAGAUAGCUUUUGUAAUCUUCAAACGUUAUGUAUAGUUAAGGCAUAAUAUUAUUUCAUUCUCCCGGGUAAACACUUAGAAAAUUUCAUCAUUUUCAUCUCUUCCCUCCACUCUCGAGUUUCCCUCUUAGAGUCUUUGUUUCACUUCUCUCUCUGUGUCGGGAAAUCUCUCUCACUCAGAUAUAUUCUCUCAUCUCAUUUCGAUCUCAAAAGCUUGUAUCUUUCUUCCUUCCUCAUUUCUCCUCGAUCCAGAUCUCGAUUCAAAACAAGUGGGGCGCUACUCUCUUAGGAAUUCGAUUGAAGGUUUGAUUUGUUCGGGUUAUCAAUAAUCAUAUGGAUUUAGGGUUUCAAAAUGUUAAUUACUUCUGAUUUAUGACUGAAUUUGGGAUUUCUUACAAGGAAUUAUCGGGAAUAUUAGAUCUAUAUCUUAAGCUCAGGUUUCACAGACAGAUUUUGGCGUUCGCUUCAAGCUGAGCUUAUCCUUUACAAGAUCUUUGCUACCAAGAGCUUUGCUUGUGGAGUGACAAGGACAAGUCUUGGGUUUGGCUUCCAAGGACUAACCUUGCGUAUGAGCAAGGAGCAACAUAUUUUGUUUAUGGGUCAGCAAAGAGGUUGGGUUAUCCUGCAAAGAUGUUUUGUCCAUGUCUCGAGUGCCGAAAUCUGUGCCACCAACCAAUAGCCACAGUCUUGGAUCUUCUGGUUAUUAAAGGGAUGGAUCAGAAGUACAAGCGAAAUAAAUGUUGGAAAAAGCACAGAGAGAUAAGGGAUUUGAAGGCAGUUGAUGAACAUGCUUCUGAAUAUGAAGCUUAUGAGUUGUUUAGAGCUACUUUAUUCGACGGUGAUGACAGUUUACAGCCCCGGAGUGACAAAGCAGAUCAGCAUGAUGGUAUUGAAAACGAAGCAGAGUUAGAGUUUACGAAGAAGUUGGAAGAUACUGAAACUCCUCUCUACAACACAUGUCCUAACUACACCAAAGUGUAUGUGAUCAUGGGGCUUUACAGAAUAAAAGUGAAGAGCGGAAUGUCAGAGAAUUAUUUUUAUCAGAUUCUGAAACUAGUUCACGACAUGCUACCUGAAGAUAAAGUGCUUCCAACAUCAACAUAUGCGAUGAAGAACUAUUUGAAGAUAUUUGGGUUUGGCUAUGAAAAGAUUCAUGCAUGCAAGAAUGACUGCAUCCUAUACCGGAAGCAGUAUACGGAUUUGACAAGAUGCCCUAGAUGUAAAGCUUCUAGAUGGGAAGUGGAUAAGCACACCAAAGAGGAAAAGAAUGGGAUUCCUGUUAAGGUUCUUAGAUACUUCCCAUAAAGGACAGAUUCAGAAAGAUGUAUAGGUCAAGAAGGAUGGCUGAGGAUCUGCGUUGGCAGUUCAGUAAUGCUUCAAAAGAUGGAACGAUCCGACACCCAGCAGACUCAAUAACUUGGUCUCAGGUUAAUGAAAAAUGGCUAGAGUUUGCGUCUGAACAGAGAAAUCUUCGACUUAGUCUGUCUACAGAUGGGAUGAACCCUUUCUCAAACCAGAGCACGACGUAUAGUACAUGGCCAGUGUUGCUUGUGAACUACAACAUGCCACCUACAUUGUGUAUGAAGGCAGAGAAUGUAAUGCUCACCAUGUUGAUUCCUGGACCAACUGCACCAACGUCUAUCUUCAACCGUUGAUAGGAGAUCUACAGGAUUUAUGGAGUGAAGGUAUAGAGAUUUAUGACUCCUUUUCCAAGGAAACUUUCAAUCUCAGAGCUAUGGUUAUGUGGACUAUCAGUGAUUAUCCUGGUUUGGGGACGUUAACAGGCUGUAAAGUCAAAGGUAAACAAGCUUCUAACGUUUGUGGCAAGGAUACACCUUUUAGGUGGCUGAAGUUUAGUGGAAAACAUGUCUAUUUGCGCAAUAGGAGAAGACUCAGACCAGGUCAUCCUUACAGAUGCAGACAUAGUUGGUUUGAUAACACUGUAGAAGAAGGGACAUUACCUAGAAUUCAGUCAAAGGUUGAGAUAUUUGAGCAGUUGAAAGAGUUUAGGAAUGAUUUUAGUAGACCUUUAGAUAAGAAAAGAAAAAGAAAGAUAUCUGGUUUGUUUGAGGAUGAAGAGCUUUCAGAAGAGGAAUUUGAUGAAGAAAGUGAUCGAUGGAGGUGGAAGAAGCGGUCUAUUUUCUUCGAUCUACCUUACUAGAAGGAUCUGCAUGUACGUCACAACAUCCAUGUAAUGCACGUUGAGAAGAACGUGUCUGAUGCCAUAUUGUCCCUCCUCAUGCAAAGUGCUAAACAAAAGAUGGCUUGAAGGCAUGUGAUAUCACUCAAAUUACCCUAAGGAGUGAUUUUACUCUCUCAAAUAAGAUGUUCAAUUGUAGUACUUAGGGAUCGAAUCCACAGGGAGCUAGGGAACCAAAUAAAUCUAACCAGAUUGAUUAAGCUAGGUUGUUUUAAUGAUUAAAUGUAAAGUUGCAAGUUUGUAAGCAAAGUAAUUGCUCGAUUGAUUGAUUGGGGUUUGAUGGAAGGAUGGUUGCUAGAUCUAGGGUUUCUAUUCAGGUAAUCAUAAUUAUAAUGCUACAGAUGCCUUACAAGUUGUAUGCAUGAUAUUAUAGAGCUCAACAUUUAUAAACAAACCGAUAGGCUUUCGCUUUCUAGGUUUGUCUAUUGACCAAUGUCGAUCGAUUAUUCUAUAGGAAUAUCGAUCAAUAUACUUUGUGAAACGUGGACCGAUUAUUCGAUUGGAAUAUCGAUCGACGCUCUUGGUCAAGCGUUGAUGCGCGGACUGAAUAUGCUCACUAAGCUUCCUAUAUCAGCUCUCGCUUACCUAGCAAUCUUAUCUCAGUUAGGAUGGAUUCAGGGUGAGAUUCAAGUGAUGACCUAAACCUACAACUCAUAGAUCAAGUCCUAGCUAGCUAAACUAGAAAAAUGCUUUAAUGACAAUCCUAAUGAUGGAUAUCACAACUUAGCAAUCUAUAGUUGGGGCUAAUCCCUCAUAACCUAUUUGAACCCUAAACCUAACAGGUGGAUCUAUUCAGACAUGAAGUUUGUCACAGAAUUCAUAGAUGAAUAGAUGAAAUUGCAAUAGAAUAAAAUAUAAAAACCAAAGGAGUUCCAGGAGGACUCUGAAGUAGUUCCUCCUUUCUCUCAUAACCUAGAACUAUGAAUAAAAUAAAGCUUAGUCGUCAACAAUGGCUUAGAAAACACAUAAAUAGGGUUUUAGGUCGUCCAAGAUUAUUAUGGUAAUUUGUGAUUGCUUCUGGGUUUCAGAUGGUCAUAAAAUAUGCUCAGCUCAUAUUCUGGCAUCACCGUCAACUGACGCUAAGGCUGUGUCAUCUAUCGACGGUCCUUCAUCUCCUCGACAGGUUCCUCUUGCGAGGCAAACUGACUACUUUUCAGUAAAACGGGCGUAACUUCUGCUACAGGAUGCUUAUUUAUCUCAAACCGGUGGCAUUGGAAAGAUAACACAAAUCUCUAUCUUGUGUCAAAAGAUGGGCUCAAUCUAACGGUGGAAAAGUCUCCAUCUAUAGCUAAACAUCUGACGUGUCUGUGCAGCUCUUCACCGCAAAAGGCUCCAAAAUCACCAUAUUUCUCCAGAACGUACCUGAACCUGUAAAUACUCUAAAAAGACUCCAAAACAUAAUAAUUAUAUCCUAAAACACUUAUAUACCAUGGCUGAAAGUGGGUAAAUCUAUGGUAUAUCAACUCCCCCAAACUUACCCUUUUGCUUGUCCUCAAGCAAAACAGAUGGGCGGUCUCUCUGAAAGAGGUUUGAAAACAGCAGGGACUCACAUGAUUUAAAAUAUCAGAAUCAUCACAUUAGGAAAUCCUAAUCUCAUAAGCACAUUAUACCAUAUCCUAGUCUAGAAACCAAAUUCACCUAGUCAACAACUUAGUAAAUCAUGUCUGACAAUCCCCUCUACCAAUCUCAAUACUUGCAUAAAUAAAAGUGUAGGCUUUACCUUGGGAGUAUCGAUCACACGAUGCAAGGAUGCGCAAACAAGUAUCUGGACCUGCAUGUAAAUAAGAGUUCCUUUCCUCUCUCUCUCUACUAAUUUCUCUCUCACUCAAAGUUUGCUUAUAUUGCAAGAUCAUUGACCAAGAUUGGACAUGCUUCCAUGAAUCAAGAUUUAAUGGUUUUGGCCACCAAAUCCUGUUCACUUCUUUUUGACCUAUAUCCUAGGAUUAUUUGUGAAUCAAGCUUUAAUGGUUGUAGCCACCAAGUCAUGUUCUAAUCCUUUACCUAUAGAAUUCUUAUGAAUCAAGCCUUAAUGGUUGUAGCCACCAAGUCCUAUUCGAAUCUUUUACCUAUAGAAUUCUUA